rnacentral:lncRNA from 1 species
ACUCCCAGCAGCUAAGGUAGAAGCAUAUGGGAAACUGCAUUCCGAUCCAGGGAAGUAUAGGAAGCAGUAAUAAAAGUGGGAAGACCUAUUAUAAGUUCGUUGCAGUCAUCCAGGAGGCAGAGUGUGUGCAGGAACUCAAAGCCCAUGGAACAGCAGGAUGCAGCUUUUCUUGGCUCCGUUACUGAGAGAUCCUGUCUGAUGUUUCCUCUCUGACAGGCCGUGACUGGGGACAUUUGGAUGGCCAGCAGAGCUGGAUUUAGAGGCAGAAGAGCUGGGCAGCUGUCCCAGUUACUCAUCUAUGAGGGGAGCUGAAAGAUCAUGAGAAUAAAUCAGAAAGAUGGUGCCAGUUAACCCCGCUUUCCACACAAGACUCUUGAUAUAAUUGGUGAAGUGGAAACUCCAGCCAAAGUACACUCCAUCCUCAAGCAAAACAUAAAACACACUCCUGAUGGAUACAGAAAGUUCUGGUGGCCUUAGAGCCUGAUUUGGUGCCAACCUGCCUGCGUUCAAAUCCAGGUUCCACUACUCACUGGAUGUGUGACCUUAGACAACUUCUUUCACCUCCUAGUGCUCUGUUCCCUUGGCUAUAAAAUAAAAAUUAUAAGAGUGCCAGUUUUGAACACUAAAUGGGCAUAAAGGAAACACUUAGACCCCAGACGGGCAUGUAGCAGGAACUUUAUAAUGGUUAGCUACUCAUUACCAUCUUUGUGAUGAGCUCAAGCAAGUUGCCUAAUGCCACUGGAGGCUGCACCCCUACCUGAGACAGCCACCUGAACAUUUCCUUAACGUGCAGCCUCUGAGAGCUGAAACUCUGAAAGGAAGUCCUGCAUAAUGAGCAUUUAUUAUGUUCAAGUAAUUAAUUUUCUCUCUUAAAAAUGUAACCCCCUUAGUACACCUCAAAAGAAAUCAUCUGACUUAGAAAAUACAAAAGACAUCUGAACAACAUCAAACAUUACAGAAAAGUUUUGCCCACGUGAAAGUCCCACUCCACCCCACCGCACCCCAAGAAAAGCAAAGCAAACAUAAAACCAACUUUUGAACAUUUUGAACAAGUGUUUGUAACCAUAUCGAUAUAUGCAUUACCUCUGUCCUGAGUGGGCAAAUCGGGAAGAACUGCAAAUGAUGUGUGAAGAACUGUACCCUGCGUGCCAGGCAGAUAUUCAUUCAUGAACAGAUAUUUACAUGACAGAAAGUGUCCUAGGCCUGGUGGAUGUGAAGAAAACAGACAGAGUCCCUGCUCUCAGGAAGCUGUGCCAGCAGGAGAGACAGAGAGGUUCUUGGCAGCAAGCAACAGAAACCCAGUCUGACUAACUUGGAUGAAAGGAAAAUUCACUGCAAGGCAUAAAGGCUGGAAGGCCAGGCCAGGCCCAGGAAAUACACAGAAAGCAAAGGAGGCCAGGGAGCUGGAACCAGAGCCCAGUUCACUACGGGAGAAAGUAAUUAGAAUACUGGAGUGAGAUGUCACCAUGCUGGACACUUGAUGCUGCACCUCUAGACUUUCAAUAACUGCCAAUAAUUUAUAAACCACAUCUGACUCUUUCUGCCUCUCCUGCAAGAUUCAGGGUCCCAUGUGGUUGACUGAUCCUGAGUCACAUUCUCACCUCCUGCUUCCCCCACCCCAGCUUUGGCUUCCACAGCAGGAGGUGGUACAUUGGGACCCUCUCAGAUAAUACACAGUGGAGAACGCCUCCUGAUUGAAAGAGGGAUUGGAUGCUGAAAGGCCAAAACUCUCCAUAAAUAGCUACAGGAUCUGUCAGUAGGAAGUGGCCUCAUUCCCAAAAGAGUGAUGGAGACUCGGUAACCUUUCUUGGUAACAGGCUUUCCUGAGGAAAGAGCAAUUAACCUCAAGUCUGUCUUCAAAAGGUUAGAGUCUUUUUUCUCCUGAGAAACAGAAAAGAGACGUUGGAAGCUGACAUGCCUCUUUGUUUAUUCUUCGUGCAACUCCUACCAAGAUCCUGGAAAAGCAGUGAUUCCUUCACAGUCACCCCUUUAGGGUGGUCCCUAAAACCAGAUGCAGAACAUUUUAGAAAACUCCAAGUCAGUGCUCAUUCCUUGGGGCAACCUGCUCUGGGCCUUGUUGAAGGAGAGGUCUGGUUUGUGACAUUAA